AACACAUGCAAGUCGAACGGCAGCACAGAGGAGCUUGCUCCUUGGGUGGCGAGUGGCGGACGGGUGAGGAAUACGUCGGAAUCUGCCUAUUUGUGGGGGAUAACGUAGGGAAACUUACGCUAAUACCGCAUACGACCUACGGGUGAAAGUGGGGGACCGCAAGGCCUCACGCAGAUAGAUGAGCCGACGUCGGAUUAGCUAGUUGGCGGGGUAAAGGCCCACCAAGGCGACGAUCCGUAGCUGGUCUGAGAGGAUGAUCAGCCACACUGGAACUGAGACACGGUCCAGACUCCUACGGGAGGCAGCAGUGGGGAAUAUUGGACAAUGGGCGCAAGCCUGAUCCAGCCAUGCCGCGUGUGUGAAGAAGGCCUUCGGGUUGUAAAGCACUUUUGUCCGGAAAGAAAAGCUUANGGUUAAUAACCCUGAGUCAUGACGGUACCGGAAGAAUAAGCACAGGCUAACUUCGUGCCAGCAGCCGCGGUAAUACGAAGGGUGCAAGCGUUACUCGGAAUUACUGGGCGU
rnacentral:rRNA from 1 species